GACGGAGGGUGCAAGCGUUGUUCGGAUUGACUGGGCGUAAAGGGCGUGUAGGCGGUUGGUCAAGUCCGAUGUGAAAGCCCGGGGCUCAGCUUCGGAAGUGCAUCGGAAACUAGCCAGCUGGAGCGCGAUAGAGGAGGGCGGAAUUCCUGGUGUGAGCGGUGGAAAUGACGUAGAUAUCAGGAGGAACACCGAUGGCGAAGGCAGCUCGCUGGGACGGUACUGACGCUGAGGCGCGAAAGCGUGGGGAGCAGACAGG
rnacentral:rRNA from 1 species